CUUAAAUAUAUUUAAGCGUGUCAAACAAAAAUUAACCAAAAUCAGAUAGGUACUUCAGGCAAAAUCAUUUCGGAAGGUAAAAAUUCCACAUACAUUUAAGGCAAAAGUGUAUACGAUGUGCAAAAGAAAUUUAAACUAAAAGUGGAUUAGGUGUAUAAGAUAUACAUACCUAGAUAUUUGGCUAAAAACAUAAACCCUAUGAAAACCUAAGAAAGGAGAUCUAAUAUGGAGGAGAAAUUAUCCGUUCGCUUUGGUGUAACGUUUUGUGUAAAUAACGUAUGAUUUUCUGAAGGAAGGAAACUAAAAGAAAGACAAGAAACCAUUAAUCCAUUAAAACAAAAAUGAAAGUAAAUUCAAAUUAGAGAAAAUUUUUGUCAACAAUUAAAAUGACCUAGUAAAUGCUAAAUUCAAAUUUAUAUAGUACAUAUGUAUAUAUGUAUGUACGAGUAUACAUGUGUAUGAAGUGUAUUGCAUAAGUUCGAUGUGAGUAUAUAAAGAUGAUUAUUAAUAUUAUACUUACCCUAUAAUUUCCAAGUUAUUUUGUUGGUAACAAAAGAGGAAAAACCAAUGCAAAAUUUAAACCCAAAACUAAUGAUAUUCAAAGCCAAUGACGAGAAACAACAACAAUAAAUGUGCUGAUGUGCUGAAAGCCGCAAAGAGAACGACAACCAGAUGGAAACAAUUUGAUUCCUUUCAAAUGUUUAGCUAACACAAUACCAACAAUAAUCGAUGGAAAAUUCAUUGUAAAAAAGUAUAAAAGCAACACGUAAUGGGGUGGCAGAUGAACAAUUGCUAAAACGAACAGUUACGAUCUGUGUAAAUGUGAACAUAAUGAGCAAAAAACGAUAUAGCAGGUAUACAAUAAUGGCCGAAUGAAACCAAAACUAAAGUAAUGAACAACUUACCGCAAGGCGACAAAGCAAAUACAAAACGCAAAUGACACAAAAGAAAAACUAUUAACUUGUAACGAUGUGAACUUGGAGCAUACUUUCAGUAUUUUUAUGAAUACUGUCAAUAAAAAUUAAUAAAACAUAA
rnacentral:lncRNA from 1 species